CAAUAGCGUAUAUUUAAGUUGCUGCAGUUAAAAAGCUCGUAGUUGGAUUUCGGGUGGGAAUGGCCGGUCCGCCGUUUCGGUGUGCACUUGCUACGCCCACCUUGCUGCCGGGGACGUGCUCUUGAGUUCACGCUCGGGACACGGAGUCGGCGAGGCUACUUUGAGUAAAUUAGAGUGUUCAAAGCAGGCCUACGCUCUGAAUACAUUAGCAUGGAAUAACACGAUAGGACUCUGGCCUAUCUUGUUGGUCUGUAGGACCGGAGUAAUGAUUAAGAGGGACAGUCGGGGGCACUCGUAUUUCAUUGUCAGAGGUGAAAUUCUUGGAUUUAUGAAAGACGAACUACUGCGAAAGCAUUUGCCAAGGAUGUUUUCAUUAA
rnacentral:rRNA from 1 species